CCGGAGGCUGGGCUGCUUUCAGCACCCAGGGAGGUGAUGCCGACGCUGCUGGGCCACAGGGCAAGGGGCUGGUCUAGCCAGACCUGCGGCUUCCCAGGGGACACAUCAGGGGACUACAAUACAGACAGCCUGGCUAGAGAGACCACUGUCCAGCCCCUCACCUCACAGAGCAGAUGGACAGCAGCUGUGGCACACCAAGCCCCUGCAAUACCACCGUCACCAGUUGGUUUCUAGAGCUAGAAAGCCCAGGGGCUACCUGGGACCCGAGUUGACCUUGGGCUUGUGGAAUGACAGUUUCAGGGCCUCCUUGAAGAAGAGAGAAAUGGAUAUCCUUGCCUUCCUGUAGUCCACUCCCCCAG